CAGGUAGCUUAGCUCGGCUAUAGCGCCAACCUGAAAAGUUGGAGCCCGAUCCGGGUCGUGGGUUCAAAUCCCACCCUG
rnacentral:tRNA from 1 species